GGGCGCCCGAUGGCUAUGUGAGCGGCCGCGGCGGGAUGGUGCUGAGCCGGGCCGGGCCGUCUUCUUCCAGCAGCACCGCGGGCGCCCGCGCCCUACAGGCGGCGGACGGGGCCGCGCCGGGGAGAGGGUUGAAGAUCGCCUGGAUUAUGUGUUUCGUUCUGGAAUCUCAAAGCAGUCCACAAACAGUAAAUUCUUCCUUACAUUGUCUGUGUCAGGUUGCCAGCGUCGUGGGCUUCACUUGGAAAUGCCGCUAGCUGUAAAUGUCAACGCAGCAAGGUCAGGGCUCACUGGCAGUCACGCUCUCAGACCUUGGAAGCCUGUGUUCCUCUUGCCAUCACUUUUGUCUUCUGGAAUUGAGAAACCCAGAUUUUAAAACCAUCCUCGUUCUUACUCAGGUUUACUUUAAGACUGAAAAUUGUUUUCCUCAGGCAGAUAAGGUUAGAAUGAAGGCUGUCACCAGUCGUGUUCUGUAAAAUUAAUAACUGUUUUGUGUUAAAUAUAGUAAGUAUAAUAUAUAUCAUAAUAAGUAUAGUAAUGUAUAAUGCUUGCAGAGGGCCCCAUUGUGGUAGAAGAGUUCUGAAAUAGUCCUCUGUGCAGGGAGAGCCAGAGAAAUGUCUGUAAAGAGUGAAAUCAGUAGAAAAAUUCUUUGAAUAGAGUUGAAACAUUCACUGCCUUGUUUUUUCCCUGGUUUUCCCAACACCUGCGAAGAUCUUACUUGGAAGCCAACUCUUCUCCCUUUAAGGUCCGGUGGCCUAUAAAUGAAAAUAUUUUCAAGCCAUGUAAUUGAAACUUAUAGUAAUAGCCUAUUUAGAUGAGUUGCGUUAUUUUGAAUAGACAUUUCCUUGAAUGAAAUCAUGUUUAAAAGUUGAGAUAAAAUAGUCAUAUUGUCAGCUGUUUAUUGAGUACCAUGCACCAAGUACCAUGUUUAGUGCUUUGUAUAUAUUUGUGUAUAUUAUCUUUUUAUGCCUUACCUUUUGACCUACGAAUUAUAAAUAUUAUUUCCAUUUGAGAAAACAGGUUUAGCAAGUCUUAAUUAGAAUCCAGGUCUGUCUGACAUCAGAGUUACUGGUAGACUAAAGAAAACAAGAAAGCAUAGGCUGUUAAAAAAACAUUGUUUCUAAGAAUAGUUUUCAGAGAGGAUCCUGAUUCUUUUUGUUCUGGUUCUGAGCAUUGUUCUCUGUUGAGAUAAUCAGUAAGACAAAAUCUUUGAAGGAAUGCUGGGCAGAUCCCUGAACUAGAUAGAAGAUGAUGGCUGUGGUUCUUCCCACAUUUCUCUUUAUGUUAAAACAAGUAACUAGUUUUUGGUAAUUUGGGCUAUUCUGGGGUUUUUAAGGUAUAUAAUAACGUGAUAUAUUCAAAGGCAUUCUGUAUUAUGUUUCUGGCCUGUUUGUUUUAUAGCAUAGAUGUGUCCCUGAAGAGUUUAUAUGAGCUGAUUUUAAUAAAUUAAAUCCUAUUUUCCCA
rnacentral:lncRNA from 1 species